rnacentral:rRNA from 1 species
UACGUAGGCAGCAAGCGUUGUUCGGAGUUACUGGGCGUAAAGGGUGCGUAGGCGGUCCUAUAAGUAUGGUGUGAAAUCUCCCGGCUUAACUGGGAGGGUGCGCUAUAGACUGUGGGACUAGAGUGUGGGAGAGGAAAGUGGAAUUCCCGGUGUAGCGGUGAAAUGCGCAGAUAUCGGGAGGAACACCGGUGGCGAAGGCGGUUCUCUGGGCCUUACCUGGACGCUGAGGAGCGAAAGCGUGGGGAGCGAACAGG